GACGAACGCUGGCGGCGUGCCUAAUACAUGCAAGUAGAACGCUGAAGGAGGAGCUUGCUUCUCUGGAUGAGUUGCGAACGGGUGAGUAACGCGUAGGUAACCUGCCUGGUAGCGGGGGAUAACUAUUGGAAACGAUAGCUAAUACCGCAUAAUAGUAGAUGUUGCAUGACAUUUGCCUAAAAGGUGCAAUUGCAUCACUACCAGAUGGACCUGCGUUGUAUUAGCUAGUUGGUGGGGUAACGGCUCACCAAGGCGACGAUACAUAGCCGACCUGAGAGGGUGAUCGGCCACACUGGGACUGAGACACGGCCCAGACUCCUACGGGAGGCAGCAGUAGGGAAUCUUCGGCAAUGGACGGAAGUCUGACCGAGCAACGCCGCGUGAGUGAAGAAGGUUUUCGGAUCGUAAAGCUCUGUUGUAAGAGAAUAACGAGUGUGAGAGUGGAAAGUUCACACUGUGACGGUAUCUUACCAGAAAGGGACGGCUAACUACGUG
rnacentral:rRNA from 1 species